CUGAGUUCUAACGUGAUUUCACUGUGGUCUGAGAGACUGUCAUAAUUUCUGUUCUUUUGCAUUUGCUGAGGAGUGAUUUACUUCCCAUUAUGUGGUCAAUUUUAGAGGAGGUGUGAUGUGGUGCUAAGAAGAAUAUAUAUUCUGUGGAUUUGGGGUGAAGAGUUCUGUAAAUGUCUGCUAGGUUUGCUUGGUCCAGGUUUGAGUUGAAGUCCUGGAUAUCCUUGUUAAUUUUCUGUCUCAUUAAUCUGCCUAAUAUUGACAGUGGAGUGUUAAAGUUGCCCAAUAGUAUUGUGUGGUAGUCAAGAACUUGCUUUAUCUAUCUGGAUGCUCCUGUAUUGGGUGCAUAGUUAUUUAGGAUCAUUAGUUGUUCUUGUUGCAUUGAUCCUUUUACCGUUAUGUAAUGCCCUUCUUUUUCUCUUUUGUUUUUUUUUUUUUUUUUGAGACGGAGUUUCGCUCUUGUUUACCCAGGCUGGAGUGCAAUGGCGCGAUCUCGGCUCACCGCAACCUCCGCCUCCUGGGUUCAGGCAAUUCUCCUGCCUCAGCCUCCUGAGUAGCUGGGAUUACAGGCACGCGCCACAGUGCCCAGCUAAGUUUUUGUAUUUUUAGUAGAGACGGGGUUUCACCAUGCUGACCAGUAUGGUCUCGAUCUCUUGACCUCGUGAUCCACCCGCCUCGGCCUCCCAAAGUGCUGGGAUUACAGGCGUGAGCCACCGCGCCCG
rnacentral:lncRNA from 1 species